rnacentral:misc_RNA from 1 species
AACGGUCUAUACCUGCGGUACCUGCGGAAGGAUCAUUAAUGAGAAGCUGCCCCUCGUGGGUAGACCUCCCACCCUCUGUGAACUUACCUUUGUUGCUUUGGCAGGCCCGUCCUCUGGACCGCCGGCUUCGGCUGGCCCGUGCCUGCCAGAGGAUUCCAAACCCUGUCUGUCAGUGUUGUCUGAGUCUAUAUGAAAUCGUUAAAACUUUCAACAACGGAUCUCUAGAUCGGAAGAGCACAC